AAUCAAAGAAUACUCUCUCCAUUGGUAGGAGGUAUUUUGGGGAAGCUAAAAGCAAAAUCAUGAGCUUAUGCUCAAAGUGAACAAUAUCAUACCAUUACAAAAGUCAUGGUUCCUAACACGAUAUCAAAGUCAUGCCCUAACUUAGUCAUGUCAAUGCAAUCGUCAAAUGUCGAACAAAGAAGUUGUGAGCCUCGAAUGUGUAGACAAAAGUGUCAAACAAAUAGUGUACUUUGUUCGAAGGCUCUAGAGAAAGAGUCAAGCCUUGAUUAAAGGAGGCUAUUCGAGGGCUCCAUAGACUUGAGUAGAGGCUUUGUGGUAUACUUUGUUUGAGGAGGGAUUGUUAGGUAAGGAGUUCUACAUCGGCUAAUUAAGGGGUUGAACAUGAGUUUAUAACGAAUACAUCU